CCCACGGGAGGCAGCAGUGGGGAAUAUUGGACAAUGGGCGAAAGCCUGAUCCAGCAAUGCCGCGUGAGUGAUGAAGGCCCUAGGGUUGUAAAGCUCUUUUACCCGGGAUGAUAAUGACAGUACCGGGAGAAUAAGCUCCGGCUAACUCCGUGCCAGCAGCCGCGGUAAU
rnacentral:rRNA from 1 species